rnacentral:rRNA from 1 species
AGCUCCAAUAGCGUAUAUUAAAGUUGUUGCGGUUAAAAAGCUCGUAGUUGGAUUUCUGUCGAGAACGGUCGGUCCACACUUUGUGUGAGUAUCUGAUUCGGUCUUGGCAUCCUCCUGGGGAACGUUUCUGCGCUUGAUUGCGUGGGGCGGAAUUCAGGACUUUUACUUUGAGGAAAUUAGAGUGUUCACGGCAGGCAAACGCCUUGAAUACAUUAGCAUGGAAUAAUAAUAUAGGACCUUGUUUCUAUUUUGUUGGUUUCUAGAAAUUAGGUAAUGAUUAAUAGGGAUAAUUGGGGGCAUUCGUAUUAACGCGUCAGAGGUGGAAUUCUUGGAUUGCGUUACGACGAACUACUGCGAAAGCAUUUGCCAAGGAUGUUUUCA